rnacentral:lncRNA from 1 species
GUAAAAUCAAAUAUAAAUGAAAAAAAAAUUCCGAGUAAUGACAGUAUACAUAUUUCUAAACAAGUAGAAAAAAAUGAUGAGAAAUAUAACAGUGAAAACUAUGAUAUUGCAGGAAAUAUCACAUCAGAAAAAUGUAUGCCCAAUGGGAAAAAUACUGAAACAGAAUACAUCCAAACAGGGAAUACAGAAAAGGAUACAAAACAUAUAGAAGAAUACAAUAACAAUAAUAACUGUUUUAACUCGAAUGAAUAUUUAUAUGAAUCAUUAUCUAACUCAUUAGAAUCUAAUAUUUUGAAAUGUUUACCAAAUAUACCAGAUGAUAUUGAAUUGAUAAGUAGUAACAGUAAACUUGAUAUAUUUAAUAAUAAUACAGAAAACUUUAUUAACAGUUCAGGUGUUCAUAAUUUAUUGUCGUAUACAUAUAAAGACUCAUUGUUAAGUGAGGGGAGUAUAAAAGAUUCGUUAGGGUCACAAUGUAAUAGUAAUUCAUCUUUAUCGAAAGAACCUUUAAUUGAUCCCAUAAAUAUAUAUAACGAUAACAAUAAAACUAAUGUUAAAUUAUCAGAUGAUACUAUUAUUUCUGAUUAUGCUAAAAAUAAUGGUACCUAUAUCACUGGAAAGAGUAUGUCAGAGGAUAUAAAAGAGAAUACGGGUAUGGAAGAGAAUACGGGUAUGAAAGAGAAUACGGGUAUGAAAGAGAAUAUGAAUAUGAAAGAGAAUAUGAAUAUGAAAGAGAAUAUGAAUAUAAAAAAGAAUACGGAUAUGAAAAAGAAUACAAAACAAAGUAGUUAUUUUAAGCAGACAUCAGUAUUAUCACACGAUAGUGAAAAAGGUAAGUACACAGAUAGGUGUGGUAAUGCAGAUAUAUCAAAUCUUUCACGUAUUUUAUUAAGUGAUAGCUUAAAUAGCGAACUUGAUAAUAAUUCAUCCAUAAUACAUCUUGAAAGUUUUGAAGAUUUAGAAACCUGUAACGAACAAUGGAAUGGACAAGAAAUAAAUGGGCAUAUUAUGAAUAACGAUAAUUAUAAUAAUAAUAAUUAUAAUAAUAAUAAUAAUAAUAAUAAUAAUAAUAUAGAUAAAAAUAUAAAUAAUGAAUAUAUUAAUGAAUUUAAUAAAAUACAGAAUACAAAUUUUAGUUUAACAAACGAAGAUACAUUUAAUAAUUUAAACGAUUCAAAUGACAGUAAUUACUUUAUAGAUAUAUCAGAUAAAUUAGUUGACGCAAAUUACUAUAAUACAUUGACAGAAUGUAAUAUAAAUAAUAGUAACAGUAGUGUAAGAAAAGGUAAUAAUUCCGUAAUAGAACAUAUCGAUAGCAUGAUUAAUACAACAGAUAGAAAAGUGAAUAAUCACCCAAAAAAUAGAAACACGAAAUGUAGUAGUGGUAGUAGUGGUAGUAGUGGUAAAAAUGGAAUGAAUUGUAAUUUUAAAAUAGAUACUGUAGAUGGUACGAGUAAUGUAUCAAACACAUUUGAUAAAAAUUUCGAAUCGUAUAACAUCGACUUAAACACAAAGAUAAUAAAAGAACCAACAGAUAAGCAUAAAAAUGUCAACAUUUUUAAUAAUAAUAAUAAUUAUAAUGAUAAUAAUGAUAAUGAUAAUGAUAAUGAUAAUAAUAAUAAUGAUAAUGAUAAUGAUAAUGAUAAUGAUAAUGAUAAUGAUAAUNNNNNNNNNNAUAAUGAUAAUGAUAAUGAUAAUGAUAAUGAUAAUGAUAAUGAUAAUAAUAAUAAUAAUAAUAAUGAUAAUAAUAAUAAUAAUAAUAAUAAUGAUAUAAACAAAAAUAUGUUUAAUUAUUUUUCUUCUACAAAUAGUAAUAAUCGUUCAAAUAAGUUACAUAAAGAAGGAAUAUAUAAAGUAACAAAAUUUGAUAGUAAACAUAAAAAUAUAUCGAAUAACAAUAUUAAUAAAAAAAUAGGUGUAAAAAAACAAGGAAGUACAAAAUUAAGUAUUAGUGAAAAUGCAAUUGUAAAAACAAACACAAAACAUUUAUAUCAUCCAGUUAAACAAUUAAGUUCAUCAUACAAUGAAAAAAAAUGUCAAUCACGUAUUCAAAGUGAAAAUAAAAAAAAAGAUGAAAAAAAGUUUAAUAAAGACUGGAGUUAUAAUGUGAGUAAUAUUAGGAGUGCUAGGAAUAACAAUAUGAAUAAUAAUAUAAAUAAUAAUAUGAAUAAUAAUAUGAAUAAUAAUAUGAACAUAAAAAAAAAAAUAGCUCAAAAAAAGCAACACAUGCAAAAGACUUUUCAAUAUAAAACCUAUGACAGUACAAAUAAGGAAAUAAAAAGUACUAGUCCUACUAAGAAAGGAAGUGAACAAAAAAAAGGAUACGGGGUAAGUAAUGAAAUGUGCAUUGACCAUUAUGACAAGAACAAAUAUAGUAAUAACCACAGUGAGGAAAACAGUGAUAAACACAGUGAGGAACAUAAUAAAUAUAGUACAAAUUUAAACGAUCAAUUAAAAAAAGAAAAAGUUAUUUUAUCUAAUGUAAAAAGAGAGUCGUUAAAACACAUUUUUGAAGAAAAUAUUAGUGAAGAAGAGAAAAAAAAAAAAAAAAAAAAAAAAAAAAAAAAAAAAAAAAAAAAAAAAAAAAAAAAAAAAAGAAAAUAUAAAUACAACACAUAUUUAUGGUAUAAAACAUUAUAA